rnacentral:rRNA from 1 species
AACGAACGCUGGCGGCAUGCCUAACACAUGCAAGUCGAACGAGACCUUCGGGUCUAGUGGCGCACGGGUGCGUAACGCGUGGGAAUCUGCCCUUAGGUACGGAAUAACUCAGGGAAACUUGAGCUAAUACCGUAUAAUGACUUCGGUCCAAAGAUUUAUCGCCUAAGGAUGAGCCCGCGUCGGAUUAGCUAGUUGGUGAGGUAAAAGCUCACCAAGGCGACG